GAGUGCGUCCUGGCGAGUCUCAGCCCCCAAGCGGGUGGAACGCACCAAGGGUCUCAUCCGCGACGAAGGGCUUUAACGCUCAGGGUCAGCAACCUCUGAGAGCUCUUGGGGACUUGCGCGCCCUUGGAUGCUCUUGCGUUCAACAGGGCUAGGAGACUACCGGCUGGGGCGAGGAAUGCAGGCGCCUAGAGCCUUGGAGCUCCUGAAACGUUCCUGCCGCCUCCGGAAAGCAAGGGCAGUUUACCGAAGUGACUGAGGCCAAGUAUUUGCAGCACGGGCAGGGACCAGUAACUGAUUUUCAGGCCUUUUGAGAGGAAGAGGAAGAGAGAGGAAGAGAAGGAUUUCUAAUAGUAGAUAUUCACUGUCAUGGACUCUUUAGGAAACAGCAACAAAGACAAGAUUAACCCGAGACAAAGAGAUCUUUACAAAGUAUCACAUACCCUAUUGCUCCUCUACAAAACCUUUCAGAACAGGGGAACAGGAUGGCUGAAUAGAAGCCUUCACCUACCAUUCUCCCCACAGGAACACCAAAUUGUGUGACUAUCCACACAAAAAAGCAUCUUCAUAAGAACCAAAAAUCAG